CCCCAUUGCCACUAAGCGGCAGCCAUUUCAAAAACUUUUAACAGUGAAUGCACAUAUUUGCAUGGCUAUACAUCUUUCUGUAAAUUUUCAGUACAUUUAGAUCAUUUUUAAAAACAUGACAUUUUUGCUGUUUCCAUGGCAACGGCAGCCAUUUUGAAAUUUCCAAAGUCAAAAGUCUCAUCUAUACAUGCCAGUUUACAAUAAUAUUAAGUUUCAUUAAGUUUGGAGCAUUUUGAAAAUAUUUGACAUUUUUCCAGUUUCCAUGGCAACGGUAGCCAUUUUGGAAAUUCCAACUUCAAAAGUUUCAUGCAGACUUGACAGUCAACAAUCAUAGUAAGUUUCAUUACUUUUUGAGCAUUUUGAAAUUUUUGAAAUUUUUGACAUUUUGGCUGGUUUCUAUGGUUACACAGACCAUUCCAAAUUUCUAAUGGCAGAUACCACAUUGGUACAUGGGAGGGAACAUACCAUCAGAGUUUCAAUGGAUUUGACCUACCCUUUUAAGAAAGUAAAUGCCACUUUUAGGUGUUUUUUGGACCAUUUUGACCUGUUUUGCAUUGUUUCCAUGGUAACGGCAGACAUUUUCAAAAUUCCAACGCCAAAUUCCACAUCUUACAAUGUUGCUCAUCGUUACUGUGAAGUUUUAUUAAAUUUGGAGCAUUUCCAUAUUUUGGAAAUUUUUGGUGUGGUAUCCAUGGCAACAUAGCAGUUCCAAUGAUUGCCAAAAUCAUCCCAAAGCAGUAUAUAGUGGGCACCUACAUUGUAUUAAAAUCUAAAGAUUUUAAGCUUAAGCAUUCUCAAAUAAUUCCCUUAACUCUAAAAUUAUAUUUUUUCACCAUUUUUUCGUUUCCAUGGUGAUGGCAGCCAUUUUUUUAGUUCCAAUACCGGAAAGAAACAGGCAACUGGAAAGUCAGGGUUCCUUGUUAUAGUGCACUAUCAUUCAGAUUGGUUCCUUUGGCUCUGAGAAAACUGCCGGACAAAAUUAGGUGGAAGAAAAAUAAUAAUAAUAAUAAUAAUAAUAAUAAUAGGGAAAAAGAAACAGAGGAAAAGCAAUAUGUCACCCGACUUUGUCGAUCGG
rnacentral:lncRNA from 1 species